UUUAACAUGAUGGACUAUAGGACAGGACUGCUGCUUUUAACUGUCUGCUGGGCAGGUGUUGAUGGUCAGACUCUGACAGAAUCUGAACCAGUGGUUAAAAGGCCUGGAGAAUCCCACAGAUUGACCUGUACAUAUUCAGGUUUUAGUAGCCAUUUCUGGAACGCUUGGAUCAGACAGGCUGCUGGAAAGGGACUGGAGUGGCUUGCUACUAUCAGUGAUAGCAGUGGCAGCAUCUACUACUCUCAGUCCGUCAAAGGCCGGUUUACCAUCUCCAGAGACAACAGCAGACAGCAGGUGUAUCUGCAGAUGAACAGUCUGAAAACUGAAGAUUCUGCUGUUUAUUAUUGUGCUCGACACUCACAGUGACUGGAGUUGGAUGAG